rnacentral:rRNA from 1 species
UACGUAGGGGGGCAAGCGUUGUCCGGAAUCAUUGGGCGUAAAGAGCGUGUAGGCGGCCCGAUAAGUCCGCCGUGAAAGUCCAGGGCUCAACCCUGGAAUGCCGGUGGAAACUGUCGGGCUGGAGUCCGGAAGAGGCGAGUGGAAUUCCUGGUGUAGCGGUGAAAUGCGCAGAUAUCAGGAGGAACACCGGUGGCGAAGGCGGGGUCUCUGGGGCCGAUACUGACGCUGAGGAGCGAAAGCGUGGGGAGCAAACAGG